rnacentral:rRNA from 1 species
GACGAACGCUGGCGGCGUGCCUAAUACAUGCAAGUCGAACGCUGAAGCUUGGUGCUUGCACCGAGCGGAUGAGUUGCGAACGGGUGAGUAACGCGUAGGUAACCUGCCUGGUAGCGGGGGAUAACUAUUGGAAACGAUAGCUAAUACCGCAUAAUAGUAGAUGUUGCAUGACAUUUGCUUAAAAGGUGCAAUUGCAUCACUACCAGAUGGACCUGCGUUGUAUUAGCUAGUUGGUGAGGUAACGGCUCACCAAGGCAACGAUACAUAGCCGACCUGAGAGGGUGAUCGGCCACACUGGGACUGAGACACGGCCCAGACUCCUACGGGAGGCAGCAGUAGGGAAUCUUCGGCAAUGGACGGAAGUCUGACCGAGCAACGCCGCGUGAGGGAAGAAGGGUUUCGGAUCGUAAAGCUCUGUUGUAAGAGAAGAACGAGUGUGAGAGUGGAAAGUUCACACUGUGACGGUAUCUUACCAGAAAGGGACGGCUAACUACGUG